rnacentral:rRNA from 1 species
AUUGAACGCUGGCGGCAGGCUUAACACAUGCAAGUCGAGCGGGGGAAGGUAGCUUGCUACCGGACCUAGCGGCGGACGGGUGAGUAAUGCUUAGGAAUCUGCCUAUUAGUGGGGGACAACAUCUCGAAAGGGAUGCUAAUACCGCAUACGUCCUACGGGAGAAAGCAGGGGAUCUUCGGACCUUGUGCUAAUAGAUGAGCCUAAGUCGGAUUAGCUAGUUGGUGGGGUAAAGGCCUACCAAGGCGACGAUCUGUAGCGGGUCUGAGAGGAUGAUCCGCCACACUGGGACUGAGACACGGCCAAGACUCCUACGGGAGGCAGCAGUGGGGAAUAUUGGACAAUGGGGGGAACCCUGAUCCAGCCAUGCCGCGUGUGUGAAGAAGGCCUUAUGGUUGUAAAGCACUUUAAGCGAGGAGGAGGCUACUUUAGUUAAUACCUAGAGAUAGUGGACGUUACUCGCAGAAUAAGCACCGGCUAACUCUGUGCCAGCCGCCGCCGUAA